rnacentral:sRNA from 1 species
GUUUCAAUUCCUCACAGGCAGACUAUCGGC